CCAAGAUGAGCCAUAAAAAGCUCCGAUGACA
rnacentral:tRNA from 1 species